GACAGAGGGUGCAAACGUUGCUCGGAAUCACUGGGCGUAAAGGGCGUGUAGGCGGAUCGGCAAGUCGGGCGUGAAAUCCCUGGGCUCAACCGUGGAAGUGCACUCGAAACUGCAUAGCUAGAGUCCUGGAGAGGAAGGUGGAAUGCUUGGUGUAGAGGUGAAAUGCGUAGAUAUCCUGAGGAACACCGGUGGCGAAAGCGGCGUGCUGGACACCUUCUGACGCUGAGGCGCGAAAGCCAGGGGAGCGAACGGG
rnacentral:rRNA from 1 species